GAGUUUGAUCAUGGCUCAGAUUGAACGCUGGCGGCAGGCCUAACACAUGCAAGUCGAACGGUAACAGAAAGAAGCUUGCUUCUUUGCUGACGAGUGGCGGACGGGUGAGUAAUGUCUGGGAAACUGCCUGAUGGAGGGGGAUAACUACUGGAAACGGUAGCUAAUACCGCAUAACGUCGCAAGACCAAAGAGGGGGACCUUCGGGCCUCUUGCCAUCGGAUGUGCCCAGAUGGGAUUAGCUUGUUGGUGGGGUAACGGCUCACCAAGGCGACGAUCCCUAGCUGGUCUGAGAGGAUGACCAGCCACACUGGAACUGAGACACGGUCCAGACUCCUACGGGAGGCAGCAGUGGGGAAUAUUGCACAAUGGGCGCAAGCCUGAUGCAGCCAUGCCGCGUGUAUGAAGAAGGCCUUCGGGUUGUAAAGUACUUUCAGCGGGGAGGAAGGGAGUAAAGUUAAUACCUUUGCUCAUUGACGUUACCCGCAGAAGAAGCACCGGCUAACUCCGUGCCAGCAGCCGCGGUAAUACGGAGGGUGCAAGCGUUAAUCGGAAUUACUGGGCGUAAAGCGCACGCAGGCGGUUUGUUAAGUCAGAUGUGAAAUCCCCGGGCUCAACCUGGGAACUGCAUCUGAUACUGGCAAGCUUGAGUCUCGUAGAGGGGGGUAGAAUUCCAGGUGUAGCGGUGAAAUGCGUAGAGAUCUGGAGGAAUACCGGUGGCGAAGGCGGCCCCCUGGACGAAGACUGACGCUCAGGUGCGAAAGCGUGGGGAGCAAACAGGAUUAGAUACCCUGGUAGUCCACGCCGUAAACGAUGUCGACUUGGAGGUUGUGCCCUUGAGGCGUGGCUUCCGGAGCUAACGCGUUAAGUCGACCGCCUGGGGAGUACGGCCGCAAGGUUAAAACUCAAAUGAAUUGACGGGGGCCCGCACAAGCGGUGGAGCAUGUGGUUUAAUUCGAUGCAACGCGAAGAACCUUACCUGGUCUUGACAUCCACGGAAGUUUUCAGAGAUGAGAAUGUGCCUUCGGGAACCGUGAGACAGGUGCUGCAUGGCUGUCGUCAGCUCGUGUUGUGAAAUGUUGGGUUAAGUCCCGCAACGAGCGCAACCCUUAUCCUUUGUUGCCAGCGGUCCGGCCGGGAACUCAAAGGAGACUGCCAGUGAUAAACUGGAGGAAGGUGGGGAUGACGUCAAGUCAUCAUGGCCCUUACGACCAGGGCUACACACGUGCUACAAUGGCGCAUACAAAGAGAAGCGACCUCGCGAGAGCAAGCGGACCUCAUAAAGUGCGUCGUAGUCCGGAUUGGAGUCUGCAACUCGACUCCAUGAAGUCGGAAUCGCUAGUAAUCGUGGAUCAGAAUGCCACGGUGAAUACGUUCCCGGGCCUUGUACACACCGCCCGUCACACCAUGGGAGUGGGUUGCAAAAGAAGUAGGUAGCUUAACCUUCGGGAGGGCGCUUACCACUUUGUGAUUCAUGACUGGGGUGAAGUCGUAACAAGGUAACCGUAGGGGAACCUGCGG
rnacentral:rRNA from 1 species